rnacentral:tRNA from 1 species
GCCGAGAUAGCUCAGUUGGUAGAGCACGCGGCUGAAAACCGCGGUGUCGUCAGUUCGAUUCUGACUCUCGGCA